UCCGCAACGGAGAGGAACGUCUCAGGAGACUGCCGUCGGAGUAACACGGAGGAAGGUGGGGAGUGACGUCAAAUCAUCAUGGCCUUUAUGUCCAGGGCUACACACGUGAUACAAUGGUACAGACAGAGGGCUGCAAGACCGUAAGGUGGAGCCAAUCCCUAAACUGUAUCCCAGUUCAGAUCGAGGGCUGCAAUUCGCCCUCGUGAAGUUGGAAUCGCUAGUAAUCGCAGAUCAGCAGGCUGCGGUGAAUACGUUCCCGGGCCUU
rnacentral:rRNA from 1 species